GUCUCUGUGGCGCAAUCAGCUAGCGUGUUUGGUUAUAAACCAAAAGGCUGGUGGUUCAAUCCCACCAAGGGACG